rnacentral:rRNA from 1 species
UACGUAGGGGCUAGCGUUAUCCGGAUUUAUUGGGUUUAAAGGGUGCGCAGGCGGAAGAUUAAGUCGGCGGUGAAAUUUUGCAGCUCAACUGUAAAAGUGCCAUCGAUACUGGUUUUCUUGAGUGUGGAUGAAGUAGGCGGAAUUUGUGGUGUAGCGGUGAAAUGCAUAGAUAUCACGAGGAACUCCGAUUGCGCAGGCAGCUUACUAAACUACUACUGACGCUCAGGCACGAAGGCGUGGGGAUCAAACAGGAUUAGAUACCCU